GUUGCCGGAAGUUGCUCGAAGGGGCUCCUGGCUCCUCAGGCCCAGCGGCCUGGGAGAAAGUUGUGAAUGUUUAACUCACCCUUGAGGGGAGACGGUGGGACCGGUACGCGGCGCGCUGAAUCCCGGGACCGGGAGUCGGGCCUGGUUCGAAUCCAGUUCUUACACCCUUGAGAGCCUCUGGCGGCACUAGCCACAUUCAGGAGCUCGUGAUCCCCUGUGGCUUCUCUAUUGGACAGUGCACAUCUGAAACAAAUUGGAUCAGUCACCACCCCCCCCCCCCGCUACUUAAAAUGCAGACACAGGUCCCACUACAGAAGGCAGGCAGCUGGUCCCUUCCCUGGACCUCACCUUCUUCUGUAAGGCGCAGUGAAAGACGAA